GCCUGGCUGAAUCAGUUGGUAGAGUGUGCGACUCUUGAUCUCGGGGUUGUGGGUUCAAGCCCCACGUUGGGUG
rnacentral:tRNA from 1 species